UGCAGAAACCACAAGAGACCGCGC
rnacentral:piRNA from 1 species